rnacentral:rRNA from 1 species
UACGAAGGGGGCUAGCGUUGCUCGGAAUCACUGGGCGUAAAGGGUGCGUAGGCGGGUCUUUAAGUCAGGGGUGAAUCCUGGAGCUCAACUCCAGAACUGCCUUGAUACUGAAGAUCUUGAGUCCGGGAGAGGUGAGUGGAACUGCGAGUGUAGAGGUGAAAUUCGUAGAUAUUCGCAAGAACACCAGUGGCGAAGGCGGCUCACUGGCCCGGUACUGACGCUGAGGCACGAAAGCGUGGGAGCGAACAGG